UACGGAGGGUGCAAACGUUGCUCGGAAUUAUUGGGCGUAAAGCGCACGUAGGCGGCACGCUAUGUCGGGUGUGAAAUCCCUCGGCUUAACCGAGGAAGUGCAUUCGAAACUGGCGCGCUGGAGUACUGAAGAGGGUCGCGGAAUUCCCGGUGUAGAGGUGAAAUUCGUAGAUAUCGUUUGGAACGCCAAUGGUGAAAACAGGUUGCUGGGAGUGUGCUGACGCUGAGACACGAAAGCCAGGGGAGCAAACGGG
rnacentral:rRNA from 1 species